rnacentral:misc_RNA from 1 species
GGGGACUUCAUCUCGAAGCUUCCUAUGGUGAUGAAUCCUGCAACACUGGCUCUAGUGUUGGCCACAUUGUUGGCGAUUGCAAGUGGUUCUCGGUUCGAUGAGCUCUUCCAGCCCAGCUGGGCUAUGGAUCACAUGAGCUUCGACGGCGAGAUGGUUCAGCUAAAGCUGGACAAUUACUCCGGUGCUGGAUUUGCUUCAAAGGGGAAGUACCUGUACGGCAAGACUACAGCAGAGAUUAAGCUGGUAGCCGGUGACUCCGCCGGCACUGUCACCGCCUUCUACACGUCGUCGGAAGGUGUUAGUCACAACGAAUUUGACUUCGAGUUCCUCGGUAAUACCACUGGUGAGCCGUAUCUCGUGCAAACCAAUAUUUAUGUAAACGGAGUGGGAAAUCGGGAGCAGAGGAUGGAUCUGUGGUUCGACCCGACGGCGGAGUUUCACGCCUACUCGAUUGUGUGGAAUGAGGGGCAAGUUGUAUUCAUGGUGGACGAGACUCCGAUCCGUGUCUACGAUAACAAGGAGGAGAAGGGGGUGGCGUUCCCGAAGGACCAGCCGAUGGGGGUUUAUAGCUCGAUUUGGAAUGCUGAUGAUUGGGCGACAC